GGGGGGGCGGAGCAGACAAAGGAGGCGGGGCAGCUGGAGUUGCCAGAAAAGGGUUCUUGGAGGCAGAUGCAGCUGGAGCCGAGCCUCCAAAACCCGGAGGGGAACAAAGCAUGGAGAUGGGGCGCUGGCAAGGGCGCCGCCUAGUGCCGGAUGGUAGGUGCAGUGAGUAAACGUUCCAAGAGGCUCGACCCUGAGACCGCAGAGUCCGCAUGCCGGCCAGUGGAGGGCAGAGAGGGAGUCUUGCAGCCGCUGCAGAUGCCUCCGAAAAGGGAGGCGCUACUUGGUGAAAAUUCUGCAUUUGUGUUCAAUGACAUCAGAAGGUGUUGCAUUUUAUUCCUUCCUUGGUCAGAUAGAGAUAUGUGAGGAUGGUUCGAAAAAUUCAUGGAAAAUAUAAUUAAAAGAUAAAUUUUUUCUGGUGCAAAAUCUUUUGAAAUCCAUGUAUUGCUUUUCCAUGAUGCAUUUUCCAUGAACUUUUUGAAGAUCUCUUGUAUGCAUGGAUUUUAAUUUUUUUUCAGACCAAAUUAAGCAUUGUCCACAAAUGUUGUGAAAUGUCCUUGUAUUUUACUAUUGCCAUUAAAUAAAUAGCUUCAAACAGUUUGAAAUAUUCA
rnacentral:lncRNA from 1 species